GGAGAGAUAGCGUCGGCGUCUUCUCCCUUUCUUCCGGGCUUUCUGCCCGCUGAGAACGUGCGCGCAGAAAGGAUGAAGUUCGAGCCGUGGAGUACUUCGAGCCGUGCGCCCCUUCCCCCGUCCUCCUCCACCUUGCCUGGGCUCCGCCUCCUCCGCCCGCAUCCUCCUCUCUCUCUCUUCUGCGCCAACGGCCUCCUCCCUCGUUGCUGGACCCGCCCUGCUUCGCCUCCGCCAGCCUCUUCCUCCUUGCCGUCAACGGCAGCGGUGUGAACGGGAGCAGCGGCCGCGACUAGAUGCGAUGAGUUGACCGGGCUGGUUCCACGCUGAGGAACGGAUCCCCUCGACACCAUCCUCUGCGGCGCUACUCUGCUGCAUGCGUUCGUCACAGUUAAGUUCUGGUUCCUUACCUGCUCCCCCUCCUCUUGAGCAUUAUGUUCCUCACAGUAUUUAGCCUUGCUACCUUCAUAUGUUCAUGUGCAGGUUUGUGAUCUCUUCUGCAUUCCGCUUUCCAGGAGUUCUUGCCUUCAACCCUGAGGUGGAAUGGCUCUUCCCAUACUUGUCUCGCGGAGGUGGGGCUCGAAGAAGUAUGGCAUGGGGCUCGAGGACGGGAGAGGAUUGGUCCUGAUGCGCUAGGCUCGUGCGCCUGUUUUCCUUUUUUUUCCUUCGAUGGGGCCGUUCAGGUGAGAUGAAGCAAGCGAGCACCUCCCCGUGUUUUAUAUAUUCCAGGAUAUUAACAUUUGCAGCCAUAUGUUGGUUUCAAUGGUGACAGAUUUUUGUCAAUCCCACAGAGAUAAUUUAAUUUGAGACUAGCAAAUACAUUGAGAUCGAGGACAGAGCGAGUCGUUGCAGAGGAGAGGGGAUACGAGGGUGGGCGGAGGUCAGGCAUUGCUAACAGAUUUGCGGCGGAGUGGAAGAGGUGACGCCAGCCGGCCGGCGCCUCACCACCGGCUCCUGUUUGGCGGUGGCAAAGAGAAGGGCGCCGAGGAUGUGUUGCUCUAUGCAUGGUUGUCGAAGUACAUCAUCGUUAUGAUGUGUAUGGUUUCUCUAGCCCUACUGCUCCUGAGCCCAAAUCCCAUGGUCAUGCCCCCACCUCUCCAUCGUUGAAUGAAGGGAGUCUGGUUGCUAAAAAUUUUUCUUUUGUUGUUGCAGCAGCUUUUCUACAGCAAUAGCCAAAUAAUGUGACAUCACACCACUCCAUUUUCAUAGGCCAUAACACAUCUUUACAUGAUAAGCCGACACCUAACAAGGAUCGGGAGAACAAUAGAGAUGCUAAGAGGCAACCUUUUGGGUUAAGGAUAUAAACAACAACAGGGCUUAUGAGGCCGAAAAGAGCUCGAGUGGCGCCUUUGGGUUCUUGAAGCCCUGCACGUUCCUGGUGGAGUAGCAGCAAAAUAAUUUGGAGGCUUUAAAGCUACUGCACUUCAUGUAGUUAGGAUCAAUUCUUUGUUUUGGUUUGAAAUAUAUUGCCCAGCUCCUCCUAUUUGAUUGAUUCAUCUGAUGAUUUUGCCAGGCAAAUAAACAAAAGGCAUAUGUAAUGUUACGAGUGACGCCAUCCAUACUCCCAUAUGUGGAAUUCAAGAAAUAGAGAAAUGUCAUUGUUCUUCUACUAAUUGGUUGCUUGGCCAAAUGUACUGUAAAUGAUUUAUUAUUGUUCAAGGUAUAGAGAAAUGUUACUAUUGUUCUUCA